rnacentral:rRNA from 1 species
UACGGAGGGUGCACGCGUUAUCCGGAUUCACUGGGUUUAAAGGGAGCGCAGGCGGGCUGGUAAGUCAGUGGUGAAAGCCUUGAGCUUAACUCGAGAACUGCCAUUGAUACUAUCAGUCUUGAAUAUUGUUGAGGUUUGCGGAAUGGGUCAUGUAGCGGUGAAAUGCAUAGAUAUGACCCGGAACACCUAUUGCGAAGGCAGCAGGCUAAACAAAGAUUGACGCUGAGGCUCGAAAGCGUGGGGAUCAAACAGG